rnacentral:lncRNA from 1 species
UUUAUCAGGGAUUAGGUUUGGUUGUUGCAAGAAUCCACAUGCUCCUCUCUUUUUAUGACUGUGUCACCUUGUUUAUAUAAUGUUUAUCCCUAAUUGCGAAGAUAUUGCUGCAUCUGCAUAUGACUGUGUCACCUUGUUUAUAUAAUGUUUAUCCCUAAUUGCGAAGGUAUUGCUGCAUCUGCAUCUUCCACUUCCACUUAUGGGGGGUUGGGGAGAUGGGUUCCAAUUGUCCACUAUCUUGUACAAAGAGGAACGGAGGUAUUGCCAACCCCGUCUGGGAGGGGCGGCUGCCAACACACCUCCCUUUUUGGUGGGAGCAGGAACCAAUCAUUGGUGGGCUCCCAUGCCAAUAAUGCAUGGAAUAGUAUACAAAGAGGCAUAUGCUUUUAGUACAAGGAGGUUACAAUCUCUCUCAUCCAUCAGAUUUCAAAUUGGGUGGUUGUGUAUUAUUGACUAAACUCAAAGUUCAAAAUUUUUUUUGUCGAACUUUGUGACACGCCCCAAGCCAUCCAAUUUGACAUUAACUUCUAGUAGGAAUUGUGACCUCCUUGUAUCAAAGAUAAAUCCCCUAGCACAUAGUGCAACUAUAUUGAUUGAAAGAAGUCGAUCAUUGUUUCAAUAAAUAGUUAGAGUUACUGUUAAUUAAUCUUGAAGGGUUUGAAUCCAUUCAUAUUUGAUCUUGAUGGGAGCCUAUUGUCCUCCAUGCCAAAGGAAGGUAACAAUCCUUCCCUUCCUUCCCCCCACCUAGACAAAAAUAACAAAACUAAAAGUCUCUAUCGAUAGGAGGCCGGGUAUUGAUAGCCUCUAGGGGGACAGACUAGUCUCCCUCCAUGUUUUGCGUUUUAUCCAGAUGGGACCAACUGCCAGGUGGUCCCAAUCCCUACAAACUAGGGAUGUGGGGGAUUUAGAUGCCCUCUACUGGGCAUGACUGCUACUAGACCCAUACUUCUCUUUUUAUGAUUGUGUUGCCAUAAACAGAAGCCUUGUGGCUCAGCUAGCCCUUCAUAUUUACAGGAAAACUUAAGAAACUGUAAGAUACGUGUAAAAUGAAAAUAGAACGAUCAUCAUCAUCAUCAUUUUAGCUUUUUUCCAAUUAAUUGGAGUGAAAAUAGAACGAUAAUAUACUUAUGAAAUAGGAAAAUGGACUAAAGGGGUUAUACAAGCAUGUAAUGAAAAUGGCUAUGGAAGAGUGGGAUUUUCUUCAUUAGGCAAGGCCAAUAGUGAGAAUGAACUAAAGGACGUACUUUGUACUAUUUCUUUUGAGAGAAGUUCAACUUGUAUUAAUAUGUUAAUAAUUCCAAAAUCUAGCGAGAGGUUGGAUUACAUAUUCAAGCAUUGUAAAACAUACCCAGGUCUUCAAAAAAGAAGAAAAAAGUGGCACUCAUUUUGAUGUUUGAAUGUCUGCCACUGCGCUGUUUUUUGUGUUCCCCCUUGCAAUGACAAAAGUUCCCCUGCCUAAAAUGUGGUUAACAAUAGUGUGGGACUGUAAUUUGUGUCUGAAAAUUAUUGCAAAAAGGUGUACGUACUUUACCCUUCUUGAAGAUUGUUGGCAAAUUCCUAUAUAUAUCCCGGUCUAUCAACGUCCUCCUUGUUUGCAUCUCAUACCAUCUAGUAAAGCAAGAGCAAGGCAGCACAAAGGGAUGGCAGAUUCAUGGGGAAGCCACCUGAUAACAAUGUAACUUGAAGGCAAUCUCCCUUAACAAACUAGGGGAGCCAAGACUGGAAUCGGCUGUCCUGAGAGCCAUAAAUAUAUGUGAGAGCCUUAGCCAAAGUCAUAUCACGCAUAUCUAAUGGGCCAUAGAAAGAAAUCAAACUUCCCCAUGCUGUCCUAAAGGAGUUCUGCUGCUUUUGCUGGAAUGAAACUCCCAUGGUAACACCCAUCAAAAUCAAGCUUCAAUAGCAGUUUAGGGGUGACUAGUUGGUAGGGAGCUCUCUAUCCAUUCUAACUAAAUUCCUUGCUUGUAAUUUAGAUAUACCAUGUUGUACAAUGUCAUGUGAAUAGCUUUAUAGGAAGUUCUAGAAAACUGAAUUGCGUAUCAGUGAAGUUUAUCACCUUCUUACAAUCUUAAAAGAGAGUAUUCAAGGGGAAACUAUGCCCAAUUUUGGAUUCUGGCUUAAGUUGCAUGCUCAAUUAAACCAAACUAUGCUCUAUAUGAAUUCAUUCUCUGCAUGCAUUCGAGCCAUCUGAUUUCAAGAAGAUUAGAACUAGACGUACAAUAAUUAAUGAAGUGAUUUCAUGAAGUGUACUCACAUUUCUAGCUCCAUUCGUUUUGCAUUCAAAAUCUUUUGUCCAGAGGACACCUGCAUAACAAUUUUGUAAUUUUAGUUUCAUCAAUACAAUAUAAGUUUGUUACUUGUAAUAAAAGAAAGAGGAGUUCAUCAGUCAACCUUUGCCAAUGCUGAUUAUUAUGAGCCAUGGCAGUGCACAUGAUCGGUAAAUGUGCAAGUUUCAUAUUUAGGAGUUGACUUUGGUGCAUGCCCUUGUUAGUCGUCAUACUUAUCUCAGUGGCAGAAUGGCAUAAGAUUGAUACACAACUUUGGCACCAUUUGAUUUCCAGGCCAAAUUGCAAUUUGGGCUUCUUCGAAAAUUUCACCUUCAGUUUGACCUGGCGUUGGUUAAUUUUCAAAUUUGAAUGAUUCCCAAUUGUAGGUGGACUCCAAAUUGAUUUUUUUUGCAAAACAUCUGCGAGUUUUGCAAAAACUUCACUCUCUCUCUCUCUCUCUCUCGCUCGUGCGUAUACACAGCGCAAUCUUUUGGAUGUGCAUGCAGACAGUGCAACCUCUCUCUACAUACACACACAAUGCAAAUGGACCAAACUUAAAAUUUCUGUGUUAUUUGUUUCUUACUGUUAACGAAGUGAGAUUGUAAUAUCUUUU